rnacentral:rRNA from 1 species
CCUACGGGAGGCAGCAGUAGGGAAUGUUGCGCAAUGGGCGAAAGCCUGACGCAGCAACGCCGCGUGAUGGAGAAGGGCUUUGGGGUGUAAAGAUCUGUUAGUGGGGACGAAACGUGACGGUACCCACAGAGGAAGCACCGGCUAACUCCGUGCCAGCAGCCGCGGGAAUACGGGGGGUGCAAGCGUUGUCCGGAAUUAGUGGGCGUAAAGGGUUGGGAGGCGGCACGGAAAGUCUGGUGUUAAAGGCAGAGGCUCAACUUCUGUACGGCACUUGAUACUUCCGGCCUAGAAUGCGGUAGAGGUAAGGGGAAUUCCUGGUGUAGCGGUGAAAUGCUUAGAUAUCAGGAGGAACAUCGGUGGCGUAGGCGCUUUACUGGGCCGUAAUUGACGCUGAGGCACGAAAGCCAGGGUAGCAAAUAGGAUUAGAUACCCCAGUAGUC